rnacentral:rRNA from 1 species
UACGGAGGGUGCAAGCGUUAUCCGGAUUCACUGGGUUUAAAGGGUGCGUAGGUGGGCAGGUAAGUCAGUGGUGAAAUCUCCGGGCUUAACCCGGAAACUGCCAUUGAUACUAUUUGUCUUGAAUACUGUGGAGGUCAGCGGAAUAUGUCAUGUAGCGGUGAAAAUGCUUAGAUAUGACAUAGAACACCAAUUGCGAAGGCAGCUGGCUACACAAAUAUUGACACUGAGGCACGAAAGCGUGGGGAGUCAAACAGGA